rfam:Fukomys damarensis contig79949, whole genome shotgun sequence.
UUAGCACUUUCACAGGUCCUCCCCUAGACAGUGGGGCCGGGAUUUGGUAGCUGGUGCUGAAAGAAAACCUUGAUUGCAUUCUUGCCCAGGUAUUAUACCAGUGGCAGCUGUCACUCAGUGGGACAGAC